GAUAAACGCUAGCGGCAGGCUUAACACAUGCAAGUCGAGGGGCAGCAUAGAUUGUAGCAAUACAAUUGGUGGCGACCGGCGCACGGGUGCGUAACGCGUAUGCAACCUACCCGUCACAGGGGGAUAAUCCGGAGAAAUCUGGUCUAAUACCCCAUAACAUAUGGAUCGGCAUCGGUUCAUGUUGAAAUUUUCGGAGGUGACGGAUGGACAUGCGUAGCAUUAGCUUGUUGGUGAGGUAACGGCUCACCAAGGCGACGAUGCUUAGGGGGACUGAGAGGUUUUCCCCCCACACUGGUACUGAGACACGGACCAGACUCCUACGGGAGGCAGCAGUGAGGAAUAUUGGUCAAUGGGCGCAAGCCUGAACCAGCCAUGCCGCGUGCAGGAUGGCGGCUCUAUGAGUUGUAAACUGCUUUUGUACGAGGGUAAAGUGGGUUACGUGUAACCUUUUGAAAGUAUCGUACGAAUAAGGAUCGGCUAACUCUGUGCCAGCCGCCGCGGUAA
rnacentral:rRNA from 1 species